GUUGAUUGUUUUAGGCGGAGAAUUCUCCCUAGGUGACUUUUGAAAGUGUUAAAGUGGCCUAUUAGUUUGUCUACACAAGUCUCUAAGGAUCAAUAAGCAUUGUCCAUCUGCAGGUUUGAAGAUGUUGCAUCAUUGGGAUCGGGAAUAGAGAGCUUGUAUUUAGUUUUGAUUUGCUAAGUUGACUUGGGUUUGUUUAAUUGGACUUUAAACUUGUUAGUUGAUCUUAUUUUCGUUGAUUGGUUUUGGGAUUAACUAUGUAAUCGAUUAUUUAUAAACCUAAAGUUAGUUUUAUGUUUUCCGCUGCAAAAUUCUGAAUAAGCCGUUACGUUUUCA